rnacentral:misc_RNA from 1 species
GAAUAAUGCUAACAUCUUCCAUAAUGCCCAUAGCUAAGACAGUAUCCACAUCUCUUUUCCCUUGAAGCAUGCUGUAAACCUGUCCUUUCUUUGUAGUAAGCUGCCGCAGUAUAGUUUCGGGCCUUGUUUUCCCUACAGUUGGCUCACCAGUCUUAUCAAGGAAACGGAUGGUUAUGUUAUUCACCUCUGCUUCAGAAACUUCUAGCCUAAUCAUACCUCCAGAGAGCAUCUCUAUACCCGAUACCGCUCCAAAAAGACCCCGCUCCAUGUACCAACCAUUUAUAGAGCUUAUUAUUUCAUCUAACCGCUUGAUAUUAACGAUUUUUCCAUAUCCAUCUCGAAAAGAAUCCUCUAUAAACCUUGCUGGAAGCACGCUUGCUCCUUCACAUACCAAACCAUGGAACUCUUGAUUUGGUUCUACCUGGAAUACCAAGCGAAUACCAUCUCUAGUAUCCACAGCAACAGGCAUGCAAGAGCAAAAGUAGCCACUAGCAACAAUCCUAUGCACAUCCUCUUGCACCUCUCGCACAGUAAGUGCAGAAUUAGGUCGACAUGCUUUGAGUGCAUUCAACGCCUCACUCUCCAAAUCCUUCCGUUCAAGUUCUUCACCAUCCUUGUUUCUCACUAAUACUUCACUAAUAAGAACUCUCUCCUCAUUCCCACUCCCUGUUUUCGGGCCCGACAACGGAGUCCCAUCCAAGUUGCUCUGAGCUAAUGCUAUUGAUGCACAGCAAAGAAGAGGAGUAUUUGAUAAACUCCAUGAGAAUGGGUUAAUGUUUCUGGGUUUACUUAGAAAUUGCAGAAUAGCAUUUUGUGGGUUGAACUUUUGAUGAAAUGGGUGUGUGAAUUUGGAUAAAUUUUGUGAAAUUCCACCAUUUCGAUGAAAAGGGUGUUGGAACUUGGGAAAAUUUUGCAGAAUUAAGUGUAGAUUGGUGAAGAAUGGGUUUAGGGUAUGGUGGUGUAGAGUAAGGGGAGUGAAUUGAGGAAGUUUGAUAGAAGAUGAAGUGAAGCGUACGUCUUCGUUUUGGUGCAUAGUUGAAUGUUCCACUAGGGUUUUAGGGUUUGAAGAAGAGAGUGAUGCUUGCACUCCCUAACAUGAAAUUAUUUUGGUU